rnacentral:lncRNA from 1 species
CAGAAUGAGGUGCUAUCUGAAGUCUCCAAAGAAGGUUAUUACUACCUGGGGGUCAGGUGUGGAUAUUUUGAACUGAAGUUGCAUCCUUGCAUAUGAAGUGGAAGAUGAGAAAGAGAAGAUAGAGUCAAAUGUGCAAAGAAAUUCAUAUUGUGUGAGCUAUGCCAGAAAAAGGCAGUUGCUGAAGGUAGAGGACUCCAGAGUUCUGGGAAUAUCCUCCUUCUUUGUCUGGCUUGACAAAUAGUUCUCUUUGAUUUUGGGACACUGGCUAUAUUAAGAAGGUAACUCUUAUCUAUCUCCUGUAACAAAUGGUAUAAUUUUC